rnacentral:lncRNA from 1 species
GUAAAUAAAUCACACAUGUUGUUUUCAAGACGUUUAGGCAAGUUUGCACUGCAUCCUGCUGGAGGGUAGAGGCUGCUGAAACCUCCAGCUCUCAGCUAAGGCAGCUGCGGUCUCACCUGCUUGCGUGGUGGUCUCCAGCACAGGCCUCUUCUGUAUGCCUUCACAGUACUCAUUGAUAAGAACUCUUGUUCCCACUCCCCUUCUUGCUUGUCUCACAGGAUUGAUAUGUGCGAAGUCUAUUCCUAGUCUCUACUCUCACACAAAGGUCUCAGCCCAGGUUAUCGGUUAAUUCUUUCAUAAUCUUUAAGGCCUGUGUUUUCCUGCCUCUUGUCACUAGCAUCAUCAUUGAUAACCCAAGGUGUGGAAUUUUGUGCCAUUGCCUAUGAUUGUGUGGGUGGAAAAAUCCUAUGAUGAAGUCAAUGUUUUGUGAAGAUUAACAUCAUGGUGUUGUUAAGUCCAUAUGUCAGGGAGAGUAAUUGGGUUUCUGAAUUCUAGGUUGUUGCAGGAAUCUGGCCAUCAGGCAGUGAGGAGCUGGACCAGAGUGAUGGUGCUGGGAUGCAGUGGGAAGGAAUUAACUGAAAAGACAUUGUAUUGCUAACUCCAAUUCCCAGAUGUAGAACUUGGAUGGAUCUUUGGCUUUGAUUGUAUCCAAAUCUAGCAGCAAACAUGAAUAGCCAUCCAGUGUUUUCCUGUCAUGAGGAAACAUUAAAGCAGCCUUUUCAUUUUAGGAUAUGGAGAAUGAAUUAUUAUCAGAGGAUGGGAAAUAUUGAAGCAUUUCUGAAAAAUAGGAAAGAGAGGGAUUCAAAGUGA